GUCCCAGGCUCCUGCGGACGCGGCGGCGAAUUCAAAGCUUUCGUUGUAAUUCGUACACGCGCGACGCCGCCGCGUCGUUGA
rnacentral:sRNA from 1 species